UACGUAGGGGGCAAGCGUUGUCCGGAAUCAUUGGGCGUAAAGAGCGUGUAGGCGGCCCGAUAAGUCCGCCGUGAAAGUCCAGGGCUCAACCCUGGAAUGCCGGUGGAAACUGUCGGGCUGGAGUCCGGAAGAGGCGAGUGGAAUUCCUGGUGUAGCGGUGAAAUGCGCAGAUAUCAGGAGGAACACCAAUGGCGAAGGCAGCUCGCUGGGACGGUACUGACGCUGAGGCGCGAAAGCCAGGGGAGCAAACGGG
rnacentral:rRNA from 1 species